rnacentral:rRNA from 1 species
AGGACGAACGCUGGCGGCGUGCUUAACACAUGCAAGUCGAGCGGAAAGGCCCUUCGGGGUACUCGAGCGGCGAACGGGUGAGUAACACGUGAGCAACCUGCCCUUAGCUUCGGGAUAGCUCCGGGAAACCGGAAUUAAAUACCGAAUAUGACUGCGGCUGACAUCAGCCACGGUGGAAAGUUUUUCGGCUAGGGAUGGACUCGCGGCCUAUCAGCUAGUUGGUGAGGUAACGGCCCACAAGGCGACGACGGGUA